GAGCUCCUUCUUCUUGCGCCGUCAUUCGCACCGAGGCUUUCUCUCUCCUCCAAGAACAGAUCUACUGUUUCAGCAUCUGAUUCGUAGAUUUCCACUCCAUGCGAGUUCUCUGCAUCAUUUGCGGCAGCGAAUCACUCUAGACACCUACUCCAGGCUCCUUCAUCGAUGGUGACUACCUCUGAUAUCCCUUAGGAAUUGAAGUCCCUCUGGGCCAACACCUGCUCGGCUCAGUUUAUUCUCUCAUUAAGUUUCAACCAAGUUAUCGGCUGGCCAGUCGAUUGGAAAUCUCGGUGGUCCUUGGUGGUUCAUCAAUCUGUGGCUGAACCUCUAUCUGCAUAGAGUCUUGGAAAAAGACCUAGGUAAAAUGAGCUUCCCAGGUGAUUAUACUGAAGAAGAGCAAACCAAAAUCGUUGGUGUACAUCAUUAGGAGAAGCAGCAUCCGCAUUUGUUUGUCAGAGCAAAUUCACUGCAUCAGAAGCAGCUCGCUUCUUCAAACACUUCUACAAUGGCCUCAACUCUGACCACCUGGUAUGGUAUCCAUAUUCUGACAGUGGAGAUAAAUAUGAACUGCCAGCCAAAUUUCACUUUGAGAAGAUUAAUUCCGAAGCUGAUAGCAUGAUUAACUUCAGAAAAUCUAUUACCCCAGGGAUCCUUCCAGUCUACUUCUAUGUUGGACGAAAUCACCAACCAACAUAAGAAUUUUACUAUCCCUCAGCCGGCUCCCGCCAACUUGGCUUUGGCCAAUUGCCAAUACACCCAUUCUUCGCUGAUUUGGUACAGUGGCGACAGACCAUCACCAGCGGCAUAGAAUACGAUUGGCUAAAAAAUUUGGCACCUGAUACCAAUACUAUUAGCCUGGAGAACUGGAUCAUUGCAUCCUUCACAACUGUCCCCUGCAGAUUAUGGUGGGCAGAACAGAGCAAGCACAUCUUCUAUGCACCAGUUGAUACAUACUGUCACAGACUUGAUCCUUCUUCCAUGAUUCCUGUAGAUGAGGACACACUCAUCCUUCUCCCAGACAUCAGCAAUUCCGGGAAAUGAAUUGAGUAUGCUCCUCCAUCUGUCGUACCUUAUAUCAUUCGUAAAGCUCCAUUGUUGCAGGACAUAGCGGCCGGCCGAUCCAAGCGUAAGCAUUCAAGUAGCAAGAAGUUGGCGCCGAAGAAGUGGGCCAAAGGAACAUCCUCACAACCAGAUCCAGCUGCAGUGGCAAACCUCCUGAUGUCAGCUUUUCAGAUAAAUCCAGCCCAAGAACCUCCAAAAACACCAACCGGCCAGUUGAUGACAUCAGAUCCCACUAUAACAACCAUUUCAUCUGAUCCCCCAUCACCAAUUAAAGCAAAGAACCAUCAUCGGCAUCAGAAAUUCCCAGAGCUUCUCAGGAGCAAUUACAAGAUGUCACUUCCCCUAUUCGUUCGCAGUGACUGCCAAUGGACUCCCCUUCUUCACCGGAUAUAGAAGUUGUCAAGUCACCAAAAAGGCAAUCCAUCCUGCAACAAACUCAAGAUUAUUCAGGCAAUGAUCUCUUCCCUUUCCAAAUUGAAGGCGUUUCGGAUGAUGAAGGAGAAACUGCUUCAAAAUUGCUGGCUUUAGGUGCGCCUUUUGAUGAUAUCAAGGCAAAGCUUCAAGAGAUUCUCCAAGUUUAAACCAAGACAUCGGCCUGUUAGUUCAAGAUGUUGAGGGUGUAAGGAAAAUAUUCCAGGAUCUGAAAGGUCAAUUGCCGGCCGAUGUUGAAGCCACUCUGCUUCCGGCUGCUUUCAUAGAGGGUCAUCAACAUAAGGUCCUCCAGGCCAAACAACGCCUCUCUGACCGUGCUUCACAAGCAAGCCAGACAUCUCAAAGGGAAGCUAGUCAAUCUAAAAUGAUUGAUAUCUAGGCCAGAAUUAAGAUACUAAAGAAUUCUCUCCCCACCAUUGUAGCAGAAAUAGAUCAGCUAAAAGCCAGGAGAGCCGAGCUUAUGAAGGAACUUGAAACAAUCAAAUUUACUCUGUUGGUAGAAGAAGAAAAGUGUUGGAUCAACACCCUGCAAACAUCGAGCAGAUGGAAGAGGAUCUGAUAACUUCAGCCAAAGAGACACUUCACUUGCACAAGAAAAUCUAGCCGAUCCCAGGAUUAGUCGAUGCAGAUCAGAAGGAGAUCGACGAGAUUGAUGAAAUCCGCCCGCGUGCGAUCAAUGCGAUCCCAAAAUUUGUUGGACCAAUGUAAUGGCUAACUCCUUUGAUGAACAGUAGUCAUAACAACGCAGACAAUCGUUGUUUGUAAAUAUUUUUGCACUAAGGGCGAUACAUAUCAUAUCAGCCAUGGAGUAACCGAUGCUCGAAACAAUCGGCUAAUCAGAUUAAAUCUGAAAUUUUGUAAUCUUUUCUUUUAUAUUUUUUUAUGCUAAAGGUGAUACAUAGUAUCGGCUAUGACUCA